CCCUGAUAUAUCUAUGCUUAGGCAAUAGGUCGCUGGCCACUCAGCUCUUAUAUCUCACGAGGCUAGUCUCAUUGCACGAGAUAGAGUGAGUGUGCUUCAGCAGCCCGAGAGAGUUGCAAGGCUAAGCACUGCAAUGGAAAGGCUCUGCGGCAUAUAUGAGCCUAUUCUAGGGAGACAUGUCAUCUUUCAUGAAGGUUCAGUGUCCUAGUUCCCUUCCCCCAGGCAAAACGACACGGGAGCAGGUCAGGGUUGCUCUGGGUAAAAGCCUGUAAGCCUAAGAGCUAAUCCUGUACAUGGCUCCUUUACCUACACACUGGGGAUUUGACCUCUAUCUCCACUCUCAUUAAUAUGGGUGGCCUAUUUGCUCUUAUUAAAAGAAAAAGGGGGAGAUGUUGGGAGCCGCCCCCACAUUCGCCGUUACAAGAUGGCGCUGACAUCCUGUGUUCUAAGUGGUAAACAAAUAAUCUGCGCAUGUGCCAAGGGUAUCUUAUGACUACUUGUGCUCUGCCUUCCCCGUGACGUCAACUCGGCCGAUGGGCUGCAGCCAAUCAAGGAGUGACACGUCCGAGGCGAAGGAGAAUGCUCCUUAAGAGGGACGGGGUUUUCGUUUUCUCUCUCUCUUGCUUCUUGCUCUCUCUUGCUUCUUGCUCUCUCUUGCUUCUUGCUCUCUCUUGCUUCUUGCUCUCUUUUCCUGAAGAUGUAAGAAUAAAGCUUUGCCGC
rnacentral:lncRNA from 1 species